CAGCCGCCGCGGGAAUACGGAGGGUGCAAGCGUUAAUCGGAAUUACUGGGCGUAAAGCGCACGCAGGCGGUCUGACAAGUCAGAUGUGAAAUCCCCGGGCUUAACCUGGGAACUGCAUUUGAAACUGUCAGGCUGGAGUCUUGUAGAGGGGGGUGGAAUUCCAGGUGUAGCGGUGAAAUGCGUAGAGAUCUGGAGGAAUACCGGUGGCGAAGGCGGCCCCCUGGACAAAGACUGACGCUUAGGUGCGAAAGCGUGGGGAGCAAACAGGAUUAGAGACCCCAGUAGUCCAUGUCUCUUAUAC
rnacentral:rRNA from 1 species